GACUGUUUCUGGUCAGGCACCAUCGGAAGAAGCGGUACCUCACGCUCAGUGCUAUCAGGAGGCCGAUAGAAAGCACCGCUGUCAGAGCACCGAGCACAGUGGGCCAGGUGGAGUGGACUUCAGCGAUUCCCGUGUGGAGUGCAUCACAAUGGAAGCAUCUUGAGCAAAGGUAUCAGCAGAUCCGCACUGGACGCUUAAAAACUGUUUAUGAACUGUUUUGUUUCACCCUGUGCAACAUCUUCCCUUCCUUUGUGAAAAAGGAAUAAUACGCCUAUACUUUAAAUGAAUAUACUGCAAACUGAUGCUUAACUUCAUGCUUGUUACAAAAAAAAAAGAAUAUUCUGUCAUCAUUUACU